CUGCAGCCAAUUAAGCCGACUGAGUUCCUUUCCUCAGGGGGCGCCCAGUGUGCAAUCGCUGCAAACAGCAGCUUCCUUGGUAGUAUAUGCAGACUGUUUAUUGUAUGGGUUGCUCUACGGGACCUUGGAGACAGGC